CUGCACCAGCUUUUGAAGAUUCGAUGAAGCCCUAAUGCCAACUCUUACAAGGAAUUAACUUCUGAAGAAAAGAUAUCUUAGAAGCAAAAGACAAAUGAUUAAUCCAUAAAUGGAAGGGAACAGAUUGAAAGUGAUCGAUGCAAGCAGACUCUCCUGUGGACAAAUUGCAGGGCAACCAUCUACAUUUCCCCAGACUGCAAAAAUGGAGCCCGUCUAGACAGUUCCUACUUCAUGGUUCUCUGCUAUGGCAACUCAAAUGGACAAAGUCACCCACUGAAUUUCAUGGUGCAGUGUCAAGUUAGUACUGGUUUCUGCAGCUUUAAAGAGAAGACCACACCACACUAGGAAGGGAUAUUUAGGAAAUAAUCCAAGUAGGACUUUCUUGCUUAAAGGGGAAGAAAAUGAGGCUUUCUCCAUGAAGGACCUGCCAGUCAUCCAUCAAGCCUGGAAGGGCACAGAAUAACAUUGCUUGAGACUAGAGGCCCCACCAGCUGAAAAUAAAACAAAUUAUGUUCCAAAUCUGGUUUUGAAAUGAGGAGUGAAGAGGCUCCACUUUGAAAAUAAUCACAUCCACUGCAUCUUCAUCCUCCAAAUGAGAACUCUUACAUUUUAGUUAGUCAGUGUGCGAUGUUUCUUUUAUUUCUGUUCUCAAAGUCUUGACAUCACUAAAAAUAAAUGACUCAAUUACACUUGUGCAUAAGCAGCUGGAAAACUACCAAAAUCUUCCCAAUCUCUAAACUGUGUAAACAGAGACACCAGAAGGGGCAAAAAAGAGAAAAAGGAAACAAAAGUGAAGAGAACAAGAGAAAUUUAAAAAUAAGAAGUUACACAAAAGAAGCUCCCAAGGAAAAGAGUAGGGUGUUAAUUCCAUUUCUUUGUUCCUGGUGGCACGCUGCAGUCCAUAGGCCUUUGGAUUCAGGAAGCAAACCAGGUGGAAAAAAAGAAUCAAGAAGCUUUAUAAACACCUUGCAAAUAAACGUGGCCAGCCAAUCUACAUUCCAGCACUCAUCCGGGGAAGUGUUGGCAGCUUCCUGG